GGCAGGGGAGCCGCGCUGGCCAGGGCCGGCGGGGAAGCACCGCCGGCGUGACGAUAAGCGAAAAUACACUUAAAAGCGAGAGGCGGAGGUCGCGGCGGGGGUGUCGUCGUUAUGCGAGGGCUGCGCCCUAGGGGAAAGGGGUGUUUAACUCUCUUUUUUUUUUUUUCGGUCUUUUUUGGAGCACGCCAUGCCCUGUUGUCCAAACCAGGCUGUGUCUGCGCCGCUUAGAGCCAGGCGAGGCACACGGGUUCCCAAAGGGUUUGGUAGAUCAGGCCGCAGGAGCAUCAGGAUUGCCUGUUCUGCAGCCUUCUGUUUGCUGAAUGAAAACUACCUCUGUGCGAAGAAGGGCCAGUACAGCCACGGACGACUGUUCUCCUGAUCCCGCUACCCCGGUGGAACAGGCUGCUGCUUGUACUUGCUUGUUAGUGCUCACUUGGUUGGAGGUCGCUAUCCCACCAACAUACUGAUCUGUGCACUGACAGUCUCCAGCAGGAAGAGCAUGACAAGUUGUUGGAGUCAGUAACCUCUUUCAUUGGCCCAGCUGGGUAUGGGAAAGGAUGUCUAUCCACAGCCUGUUGCCACAAGUAUCUGCAUUUUAUUUACUGACAAAUACCUGAUGGUAGCAGAAGACCACAUCAUCUAAUUAAAAGGAACAAAUUGUGCAUUUCAGUAAGUAGGAUAAGGUUUAUUAGGUUAUGUUACUUUACAUCUUAAAGUGAAUAAAGACAGAGGCUCCUAUCUCA
rnacentral:lncRNA from 1 species